rnacentral:rRNA from 1 species
GUGGGGAAUCUUAGACAAUGGGGGAAACCCUGAUCUAGCCAUGCCGCGUGAGCGAUGAAGGCCUUAGGGUUGUAAAGCUCUUUCAGCUGGGAAGAUAAUGACGGUACCAGCAGAAGAAGCCCCGGCUAACUCCGUGCCAGCAGCCGCGGUAAUACGGAGGGGGCUAGCGUUGUUCGGAAUUACUGGGCGUAAAGCGCGCGUAGGCGGACCAGAAAGUUGGAGGUGAAAUCCCAGGACUCAACCUAGGAACUGCCUUCAAAACUCCUGGUCUGGAGUUCGAGAGAGGUGAGUGGAAUUCCGAGUGUAGAGGUGAAAUUCGUAGAUAUUCGGAGGAACACCAGUGGCGAAGGCGGCUCACUGGCUCGAUACUGACGCUGAGGUGCGAAAGCGUGGGGAGCAAACAGGAUUAGAAACCCUUGUAGUCC